GAUGAACGCUGGCGGCGUGCUUAACACAUGCAAGUCGAACGAAGCGCUUUGAUUUCUUCGGAUUGAUGAGUGACUGAGUGGCGGACGGGUGAGUAACACGUGGGUAACCUGCCUCACACAGGGGGAUAACAGUUAGAAAUGACUGCUAAUACCGCAUAAGACCACAGUACCGCAUGGUACAGUGAUAAAAACUCCGGUGGUGUGAGAUGGACCCGCGUCUGAUUAGCUAGUUGGUGAGGUAACGGCCCACCAAGGCGACGAUCAGUAGCCGACCUGAGAGGGUGACCGGCCACAUUGGGACUGAGACACGGCCCAAACUCCUACGGGAGGCAGCAGUGGGGAAUAUUGCACAAUGGGCGAAAGCCUGAUGCAGCGACGCCGCGUGAAGGAUGAAGUAUUUCGGUAUGUAAACUUCUAUCAGCAGGGAAGAAAAUGACGGUACCUGACUAAGAAGCCCCGGCUAACUACGUGCCAGCCGCCGCUGUAAAAC
rnacentral:rRNA from 1 species